rnacentral:rRNA from 1 species
UACGUAGGGGGCAAGCGUUGUCCGGAUUUAUUGGGCGUAAAGAGCGUGUAGGCGGUCUGGUAGGUCCGUUGUGAAAACUCGAGGCUCAACCUCGAGACGCCGAUGGAAACCCUCAGACUAGAGUCCGGAAGAGGAGAGUGGAAUUCCUGGUGUAGCGGUGAAAUGCGUAGAUAUCUGGAGGAACACCGGUGGCGAAGGCGGCAUUCUGGACCGAUAUUGACGCUGAGGAGCGAAAGCCAGGGGAGUAAACGGG